GUGACACGUUCACUCAAAAAAAAUCCUUUUGUAGCGAAUCAUUUAUUAAAAAAAAUAAAUAAGCUUAACACAAAAGAAGAAAAAGAAAUCAUAAUAACA
rnacentral:rRNA from 8 species